AUGGGUCUGGGAGGCAUGAAAAGGCCCAAGGACACCACAUUCCAGGCCAAGAGCCUGAGGAGUCUUCGUUCUGUCAGUGUCCCCACCAUGGCUUGGACGGUGCUUCUGCUUGGGCUCCUUGCUUACGGCUCAGGUGUGGAUUCUCAGACUGUGGUGACACAGGAGCCAUCACUCUCAGUGUCUCCAGGAGGGACAGUCACACUCACCUGUGGCCUUAGCUCUGGGUCAGUCUCUACCAGUAAGUACCCCAGCUGGUUCCAGCAGACCCCAGGCCGGGCUCCCCAAAUGCUCAUCUACAACACAAACAACCGCCCCUCUGGGGUCCCUGACCGCUUCUCUGGAUCCAUCUCUGGGAACAAAGCCGCCCUCACCAUCACAGGGGCCCAGGCUGAGGACGAGGCUGACUAUUACUGUGCUCUGUAUAUGGGUAGUGGCAUUUACACAGUGAUGUAAACCCAUGGGGAAGUGCAACCAAAACCUCCUCAUAUGCUCAGAAUGGCUCAGCCUCACAGGCAGAAGGAAAGGAAGAGGCUGUCAAUGGU